AAGUCUUUACGGAGAAAGCUUUAUGCGCCGAAGGAUGAGCCUGCACUUGAUUAGUUAGUUGGUAGGGUAAUGGCCUAACAAGACAAUGAUCAAUAGCUGAUUUGAGAGGAUGAUCAGCCACAUUGGGACUGAGACA
rnacentral:rRNA from 1 species